GUCGCCCCGCCCACACGCCACUCUCCGGACGUCGCUUUUGUCCAGAGCGAGAGUCACCCCUUCUACCUCUGUGUCAGUUACGUGAUGAGAUAGGAGCCAGACAUAAUGGGAUUAUGAGAAGAAGA
ensembl:ncRNA T22B7.9 ncRNA